GACUUGAGAGUAUUUUUUCUUUCAGUAUGUUAAUAAUGUUGCUUCACACUCAUCUUGUUUGCAUUGUUUCUAAUGAGAACUCUGUCAUCCUUUUUUCCUCUGUAGGUAAUGUGCCAUUUUUUCCCUCUGUUUUUAAGGUUGUUUUCUUUUCACUGGUUUUGAGCACUUUGAUUAUGAUGUGCCUUAGAGUAGUUUUUUCUUGUUUCUUGUGCUUGGGGUUUACUGAGCUUCUUGGAUUUGUAGAUUUACGGUGUCAUCAAAUUUGGAAAUUUUUCAGCCAUUAUUUUUUCAGAUUUUUUUCUAUCUUCUCUCCCCUCUCCUGUGAUUCCAAUUACCAUAUAUUAGCCCAUUUGAAGUUGUCUCACAGCUCACUGGUGCUAUUUUUUUCUUUCUUCUUUGAGUCUUUCUCUGGGUUUCAUCUUGGAUAGUUACUAUUGCGAUCUCUUCAUAUUCACCAUUUUUCUUCAGUGUCUAACUUGCCAUUAAUUCUAUCCAGUGUAUUUUUUUAACCUGAUAAUUUUCAUUUCUAGAAGUUUGAUUUGGGUUUUUAUUAUCUUUCAUGUCUCUUCUUACUAUCUUUGAGCUUUCCUCUAGUUUUUUUAACUAUAUAGAAUAUAGCUAUAAUAACUUUCCAUUUUAUCUGCUAAUUCUAAUAUCUGUGUUAGUUCUGGGUGGUUGUGAUUGAUUUUUCUCUUUAUCAUAGAUUAUAUUUUUCUGCUGCUUUUUUGUAUGUCUGGUAGUUCUCAACUGGAUGCCAGACUUUGUGGCAGACUUUGUGAAUUUUACCUUUUUGAAUAUGGGAUAUUUUUGUAUUCCUAUGAAUAUUCUUGAGCUUUUUUUCUGGACUAUAGUUAAGUGACGUGGAAACAGUUUGAUUCUUUUGGAUCUUGCUUUUGUGAUUUGUUAGGCAGGACCAGAGCAGUGUUUAGUUUAGAACUAAUUAUGUCCCACUAAUAGCAAGACCCUUUAGAGAACUCUACUAAUACCCCAAGAGUUAUGAGGCUUUCCAGUCUGGCAGGUGAAACAGGCAGUAUCCCAGGCCCAGUGAGCUUUAGGGGACUGUCCCCUCAAAGCCCUUUGAUUGAUUGUUCAGCCUCGGUAGUGUCCUCACAUGCACACACUGAUCAGCACUCUGCUGAGUAUUCUGGCGGGGACACUUCUGUAGACCUCUGGAAUUUUCCCUCUGUGCAGCUUCCCAUUACCCUGCCCUGUAAACCCUAGCUGUUUGGCCCCCCAAGAUUCUCAGCUCUGUGUGUUCAGCUCAGGGAGUUUGCCAUGUUCCAUCAAGCUUCCUCCUUCUUGAUCAGGGGCUAGAAACUCUCGAGGCUGUAAGCUGAGGCAAGUAUAGGUCUCACCUUCUUUGACUCCCAUGUCCCAGGGAUCACUGUCCUUUGUUGUCUGAUGGCCAGUGCUUUAUUUGAAAGAUUAUAUGAAACCAUUGUUCUAGUAAUUUUAGGUGGGAAGAUAAAUCUAGCCUCUGUUGGUUGGAAGCAGAAGUUGACUAUUUUUAAAUUGUGAUGUUUUGUGCACAGAAGAGCAUACAUAUAAUUAUCUUGUAAAAUAUCUCUGAAGAACUAGAAAUCAACCUAAAUAAUAUAUGCCAGCUCUAGCUUUCACAUUUAGUUUUUGGAACAGAGUUCUAAAUUUCUGCAUAAAAGCCAAAGAGCAGUUGAUAUAAAUAAUUACUUUGGUCCCAGAUUUCACUGAGAGAUGAAAAGAAAAAUAUUUUUCCCUGCAUGAUAUGUCUCUGGCUCAAAUAUGGUAUUUUUUAAAUUACCAAAAUAAUGUUUGACGAGAAAAAAAUCCUUUUCGAAAACAUAAUCUUAUUUAAGUGAUCAUAUAUGAGUUCUUUCCCUGCCAGAAAAAUUAUUGUGCAUGUAAAGUUUAUCUUUUCUUUUAACUUUGUAUGCUCCAUUUUUAUAUAAGUCUUCCUGUUGCUUAUGAGCCAUAGGAAUUUUUUCAGACCUUUAAGCAAGCAACAGGUAGAUAUAUUGUUGAAAGUCAUGUAGAUAUUUCUUAGAAAAAUAAUUAAUAAUAUCCUUUCCUCUUGUCAUAUUCCCCUGCCACUGCCAAGAAGUUAUUCCUAGAGUAAUGGCUUCCAUUUAAAUAAUCACAAAUAAGCAUUUAUACUUGACACGUUGACCAAAUCUUCCAUUGAUGCGAGGGAAUUUCCUCUUAGGACUCAGAAGGAAUUUUUAUUAUAAAGGAAUACUUUACCUGUUUAGGUAUGGGGAUGCGAAUUGCUGCAUUGUUGGUAGCAACAAAAGACGGAAAAGAAAAAAACUAAAUGUCCUUCUGCGGGAGACUAGUUAAACAAAUUACGGCAUAGUGAUACAGUGUAUGUUAAAAAGAAUAAACAGCUCUAACAGGUGCUGAUACAUAAUAGUCUAUAAGAUAUAUUGACAAGUGGAGAAAUGUGUGUGUGUGCACGUGCGUGCAUGUGUGUACACAUAAGCUUAAUCUAGCUUAGUCUAUCUCUAGAGGAAUAUAUAAGAAACUGGUAACUGUGGUUGCCCCUGGGAAAGAGAAUUGAAGAUUGAGAUAGGAGGGAGGGAUUUAUUUUUCACUGUAUGUUUCUAUGCUAUUUCCUUUUUAAAAGCCAUGUGCAUGUAUUACUUUAAAUAAGAUCCUGUUUUUAAAAAAAGAAGAAAAAGCAAACUGUUCUUGUUUUGACUUCUCUAAUAGGAGUGAUCGACACAGGAAUUGCCCUAUUUGUCGCCUACAGAUGACUGGAGCAAAUGAAUCUUGGGUGGUAUCAGAUGCACCCACUGAAGAUGAUAUGGCUAACUAUAUUCUUAACAUGGCUGAUGAGGCAGGCCAGCCCCACAGGCCAUGACCUUGAAGUGAAAGUCUUCUGUUGCUAUUGUGGGCUCAAAUAUUUGGUCGUGGGGGAAGAAUGUAGGGUUGUGGCACAGACACAGAAAAAUCCAUUUUCCCCACUCUUUUAUUUUUGCUAUUCUGAUCAUUUGUCCCCCUUUUAAAAAUAAACUUCCCAUGUCUUCCAUUUGUGGUACUAAAAUUUGCUACUGUUUUAGACCAUAUUUUCCUAUUAUUUAUCUGUUCAAAUUUGUAUUAUUACAACUAAUAGCUCUUGAAUUCUUUGCUAAAGGUAACAGCAACACUUCCAGAGGCUUCUGAAACACUACUGUUUUGCAGGGCAGGAGUAUUCUGGAAUCCUUUUACUUAGAUAUAAAAUAAACCUCAAAUAUUAAAAAGUUGUAGCCAUCUGAGAGAGGAAAUUUUAAGUGACUGAAAAUGUAGAAUACUUCAAAGUGCAUGUUACUACUUAAAACUAGUCUUUCUGCUGGAAUCUAAGGAGUAUAUAUAUAUGCCCCCUUGUGGUUAAUUAUUGCUCCUUUAAUAAUUUUUACUUGAAAUGAUCCACAGUUAUUUCAUAACUUUAGCAGUGUGUUUUGGAACUACUGUACUUAAAGGUUUGUUUGUUUGUUUUUGCCAUACUGUAUAAUUUGGGUGAGGUCUACAAAAUUGGGUGUGACUUUCCUUUGCAAAUGGAUUUCUCCUGGGGAAUUUUCUUGGCUGUUCUGGAAAUGCUUUCCCACAGCUGGGUAACUGUUCUAAAUGGCUUUGAUAAUGCUCACACAUCUUGGAGUUUCAGAAGGAAAUUAUUCUGCAUCACAAAUACUAAAUUUUAUAUUUCUAAAUUACUAUAGGUCAUUUAAUAUUGGUUUAUGGUGCUUUUAUUUCCUUAACUUGAGAACAUCUUUCUGAGAUUUCAGAGUCCUCAAAUUUCUUAGAUUAAGAGACAAUAGGCCAGUGCAGUUGUUCACACCUGUAAUCCCAGCACUUUGGGAGGCCGAGGUGGGCAGAUCAUUUGAGGUUAGGAGUUUGAGACCAGCCUGGCAAACAUGGCGAAACCCUGUCUCUACUAAAAUACAAAAAUUAGCUGGGCAUGGUGGCAGGUGCCUGUAAUCUCAGCUACUCAGGAGGCUGAGGCAGAAUUGCUUGAACCCAGGAGGUGGAGGUUGCAGUGAGCCUAGAUCACACCACUGCACUCCAGCCUGGGAGACAGAACGAGACUCCUUCUCAAAAAAAAAAAAAGAAAAUAGAGUGAGGCUUUUUUUACCAUAUAUACAUAAAAUACUUAUGAAAAUUAGAAGAUAAUUUGGCAUUCUUACUGUUUCACUGUACUUCCACUGAAAUACUCUUUCCAUUAAAAUAUUCUGAAAGAAUAUAGUAAUAAUGGAAUUGUGAUCUUCAGUCGCACCUCAACCAUUUUUUUGCUUAUGAACUAAAAUUUCUAACAUUAACAUUUCAGCAUGUAAUAAAACAAGGGCCUAUCUCCUUUAAAAUUUAACAUUCCAUGUAACUUUUCUAACUUAUCAUUCAUAAGUUGCAAAUAUUACUAUUUUCCUAAACCAGGGUACACAAUUUAAGUUGCCACUUACUGAUGACGAAUUUCUGGGUAAUAGGAUUUUAAUAGGCAAGCAAAUAAAAUUAAAUCAAUUUCAAGGAAAAACAUCUGGCCAGGGGUAGCUUGAUUUCGCCCCCAAAAAUACUGAAGACUAAUCCAUUGACAUUCAUAAUGGGACAGCUAAGUACUAAAUAGCUAACUACUCCCUAUGGAGGUUUAUGUAAGCAGAGUACCAGGGGUUCCAUCAUAUCAACCUGGCAAUGCACUUGGUGGUUGUGUGACCUUCAGAAAGUCUCUUACUCUUGUUUAUGUGUUCCUCCUUUAGAAACUGAGAAUUUAUUUGUGGUUUUCACACUAUUUCAGCAGCAAAAACUUUUUCAAGGAAAAUCUUACAGAGCCUUUAAACACAUGUGCAUACACACAUACCCUUAUACCCCACUAUAUAAAAGUCAUAUUAUUAUAAAUUUCCUUAUUAUAUAAACUUUAUAUACUAUAAAUGUGAUUAAGUCAAUGAAUAAAAACAUUAAUGCAUUGGUGAUAUCCAGCAUGUUUGAAUUUGGUGAGUAACACACACAUAGUGGGAGUCGUUUUUAAAAAAAAUUUCUUAAUUAAAUUCAAGUCAAAUUUGCAGAACCCUGUAUCUCCUCCAUAGAUUCUUAGUAUUCCAUGGAACAUAUUUUGAAAACCUUGGGAUAGAUGAUCCGCUGAAAUCUUUUCCAGCUCUAAGACUUUAAAUUGUCCUUUUAGAUUAGACUUGCUGAGUUUAAUUCAGAUUACCUAAUUUUAAAAUGUUUCUGAAAAGUGAACAAAGUUACCUUACAAAGUUUUGGAUCUUUCCAGGGAUAGCCAAUGAUUUUAUCCCCCAGAAUCCUUCACCUUUCAAGGAGUUAUUUAACAAUGAGCCCAGUGACUCAAUAGGGCCGAAACCUUUUUAUUUUACAAUAUGAGCUCCAAGACACUUACUGAUCUACUGUGAAUAUAAAAUGUUAUUAGCCUUAUCAAAUAAAUGAGCACAGCUCUCUGUUCGCUCUAUUAAACUGGGUGAUAAUUAUUUAGAUGUGAAUGUUAGGUCAGUUCUACUGUAAUAACUAAUCGUAAAAGUUGUAAAUUUGUUUAAUGGAUAAAAUGUACACUUUUUGUAUUCUGUACAGCUUUGUCUUUUUUAAAUAUGAAGUACUUAAAUGUACUUACUAUGAUAGGAAAUAUAAUGUGUGCCUUCUAGGAUUUGUGAAGUGGUUUCAUGAACUCUAAGGAAUUUGUUUUCCCUAUCCUAACUGAAUAACAGAGGGUUUACUCCAAUUAUGUAUAGAACCUUAGUUUGAGAAAAUGAAUUUUACUAUGUACUGAAUUUAGAGGUUGAGAAUAAUAGUAUCUGUGUUAUUCUUAGUACCCACUGAUAAAUUGUGCAAUAAAUAAUCUUUCGCAAGUAAUUUUAGCUAA
rnacentral:sRNA from 1 species